UACGAAGGGGGCUAGCGUUGUUCGGAAUCACUGGGCGUAAAGCGCACGCAGGCGGAUCGAUAAGUCGGGGGUGAAAGCCCGGGGCUCAACCUCGGAAUUGCCUUCGAUACUGUCGGUCUCGAGUCCGGGAGAGGUGAGUGGAAUUCCUAGUGUAGAGGUGAAAUUCGUAGAUAUUAGGAAGAACACCAGUGGCGAAGGCGGCUCACUGGCCCGGUACUGUCGCUCAUGUGCGAAAGCGUGGUGAGCAAACAGG
rnacentral:rRNA from 1 species